rnacentral:rRNA from 1 species
UACGGAGGAUGCAAGCGUUAUCCGGAAUUAUUGGGCGUAAAGCGUCCGUAGGCGGUUUUUCAAGUCUGCUGUUAAAGCGUGCAGCUUAACUGCAUAUCGGCAGUGGAAACUGAGAGACUAGAGUGUAGUAGGGGUAGAGGGAAUUCCCAGUGUAGCGGUGAAAUGCGUAGAUAUUGGGAAGAACACCGGUGGCGAAAGCGCUCUACUGGGCUACAACUGACGCUGAUGGACGAAAGCUAGGGGAGCGAAAGGGAUUAGAUACCCUGUAGUCC